rnacentral:rRNA from 1 species
AGCAGCCGCGGUAAUUCCAGCUCCAAUAGCGUAUAUUAAAGUUGUUGCAGUUAAAAAGCUCGUAGUUGAACUUCGGGGUUUACUCAUUGGUCAGGCUUAAUUGUCUGUACUGGUGAGAUGAAUCUCUACCUUCUGAGGAACUUUCAUGCCAUUUAUUUGGUGUGGUUGGAAAUCAGGACUGUUACUUUGAAAAAUUAGAGUGUUUAAAGCAGGCUAACAUCUGAAUACAUUAGCAUGGAAUAAUGAAAUAGGACGGAUUGAUUCUAUUUCGUUGGUUUCUAGGGUCACCGUAAUGAUUAAUAGGGAUAGUUGGGGGCAUUAGUAUUCAAUUGUCAGAGGUGAAAUUCUUGGAUUUAUUGAAGACUAACUACUGCGAAAGCAUUUGCCAAGGAUGUUUUCAUUAAUCAAGAACGAAAGUUAGGGGAUCGAAGACGAUCAGAUACCGUCGUA